CCUACGGGGGGCAGCAGUGAGGAAUAUUGGUCAAUGGCCGGAAGGCUGACCCAGCCAUGCCGCGUGAAGGUCAGUGCCCUAUGGGCGUUAAACUUCUUUUGUGCGGGAGCAAUAAUGGUCACGGGUGGCCAGACGAGCGUACCGUACGAAUAAGCAUCGGCCAACGCCGUGCCAGCAGCCGCGGGAAAUCGGGGGAUGCAAGCGUUAUCCGGAUUUUUUGGGGUUAAAGGUUGCGUAGGCUGGGAGGUAAGUCAGCGGGGGAAUGCCCCCGCUCAACGGGGUGAAGUGCAAUUGAUACUGCGUUGCUGGAGUGCAGAUGAGGUGGGAGGAAUGUGUGGUGUAGCGGUGAAAUGCGUAGAUAUCA
rnacentral:rRNA from 1 species